AGCUCCAAUAGCGUAUAUUAAAGUUGCUGCAGUUAAAAAGCUCGUAGUUGGAUUUGUGGCGCGAUCGUCCGGCGGGGCUCCUUCAUUGGGGCCGUUUGUCUGGUUUUUCGAUCGCUCCAUUCUCGGGUAGUGUGUCGCUGGCAUUAGGUUGUCGGCUUCUUCACGCCCGUCGUUUACUGUGAAAAAAUUAGAGUGUUCAAAGCAGGCUUAGGCCGUUGGAUACAUUAGCAUGGAAUAAUGAGAUAGGGCCACGACGGUCUAUUUUGUUGGUUUGCACGUUGUGGUAAUGAUUAACAGGAACGGUUGGGGGUAUUCGUAUUCAAUUGUCAGAGGUGAAAUUCUUGGAUUUAUGGAAGACGAACUACUGCGAAAGCAUUUACCAAGGAUGUUUUCAUUAAUC
rnacentral:rRNA from 1 species